AACGAACGCUGGCGGCAUGCCUAACACAUGCAAGUCGAACGAGACCUUCGGGUCUAGUGGCGCUCGGGUGCGUAACGCGUGGGAAGCUGCACUUAGGUACGGAAUAACUCCCUGUAAGGGGUGCUAAUGCCGGAUAAUGUAUUCGGACAAAAGAUUUAUCGCCUUUGGAUGGGCCUGGGUUGGUUUAGCCGGUUGGUAGGGUAAAAGCCUAUCAAGGCGUGGAUCCAGAGCUGGUGUGGGAGGAGGAUCAGCAACGCUGGGCCUAAGACCCGGCCCAGAAUGCUAGGGGAGGCAGCAGUGGGGAAUAUAGGACAACGGGGGAAGGCCUGAUCCAGCAAUGCCGGGUAAGUGAUGAUGCCGUUAGGGUUGUGAAGCUCUUUUACACGGGGUGAUAAUGACGGUACCGGGAGAAUAAGCACCGGCUAACUCCGUG
rnacentral:rRNA from 1 species